UGGGGAAUAUUGCACAAUGGAGGGAACUCUGAUGCAGCGACGCCGCGUGAACGAAGAAGGCUUUCGAGUCGUAAAGUUCUUUUAUAUGGGAAGAUAAUGACGGUACCAUAAGAAGAAGCCCCGGCUAACUACGUGCCAGCAGCCGCGGUAAUACGUAGGGGGCUAGCGUUGUCCGGAAUCACUGGGCGUAAAGGGUUCGCAGGCGGAAAUGCAAGUCAGGUGUAAAAGGCAGUAGCUUAACUACUGUAAGCAUUUGAAACUGCAUAUCUUGAGAAGAGUAGAGGUAAGUGGAAUUUUUAGUGUAGCGGUGAAAUGGGUAGAUAUUAAAAAGAAUACCGGUGGCGAAGGCGACUUACUGGGCUCAUUCUGACGCUGAGGAACGAAAGCGUGGGUAGCAAACAGG
rnacentral:rRNA from 1 species